rnacentral:rRNA from 1 species
UACAGAGGUGGCAAGCGUUGUUCGGAAUUACUGGGCGUAAAGGGCGCGUAGGCGGCCCGUCAAGUCCCGUGUGAAAGCCCCCGGCUCAACCGGGGAACGGCGCGGGAAACUAGCAGGCUUGAGUUCGGGAGAGGGAAGCGGAAUUCCGGGUGUAGCGGUGAAAUGCGCAGAUAUCCGGAGGAACACCGGUGGCGAAGGCGGCUUCCUGGACCGACACUGACGCUGAGGCGCGAAAGCUAGGGGAGCAAACGGG